GACGAACGCUGGCGGCGUGCUUAACACAUGCAAGUCGAACGGAAAGGCCCUGCUUUUGUGGGGUGCUCGAGUGGCGAACGGGUGAGUAACACGUGAGUAACCUGCCCUUGACUUUGGGGUAACUUCAGGAAACUGGGGCUAAUACCGGAUAGGAGCUCCUGCUGCAUGGUGGGGGUUGGAAAGUUUCGGCGGUUGGGGAUGGACUCGCGGCUUAUCAGCUUGUUGGUGGGGUAGUGGCUUACCAAGGCUUUGACGGGUAGCCGGCCUGAGAGGGUGACCGGCGACAUUGGGACUGAGAUACGGCCCAGACUCCUACGGGAGGCAGCAGUGGGGAAUAUUGCACAAUGGGCGGAAGCCUGAUGCAGCAACGCCGCGUGCGGGAUGACGGCCUUCGGGUUGUAAACCGCUUUCGCCUGUGACGAAGCGUGAGUGACGGUAAUGGGUAAAGAAGCACCGGCUAACUACGUG
rnacentral:rRNA from 1 species